rnacentral:rRNA from 1 species
UACGUAGGGGGCAAGCGUUGUCCGGAUUUAUUGGGCGUAAAGAGCGUGUAGGCGGUUAGGUAGGUCCGUUGUGAAAACUCGAGGCUCAACCUCGAGACGCCGAUGGAAACCAUCUGACUAGAGUCCGGAAGAGGAGAGUGGAAUUCCUGGUGUAGCGGUGAAAUGCGCAGAUAUCAGGAAGAACACCCGUGGCUAAGGCGGCUCUCUAGUACGGUACUGACGUUGAGACGCGAAAGCGUGAGGAGCGAACAGG